AGGCUUUUCAAUGCUUUGUUUCCAAUAAUCCAAUAUGUGAUUCCAAAAUGGACCAAAAGGGACCACUCCUUUACAAAAAAAAUCAAACAUUUCUUCAAUGGAAUUAGUAUCUUUAUGAUGAAGUCUUAAAUUGUUUGCAAAAUGCAGGGUAGAAAUAAAAGUAUCCCUUGGAUUUCUACAUAAGUAAACAAGUUUGUUUCUUGAAUCUUGAACAGACUUUGGUAAUGAUGUAUAGGGCAAAUGAGUUGACAAGAGUCUAGGCGAAGUGAAGAAUGAAAAAUUAGGGUUAUGACCAAGUUCAAAUUCAAAGGAUGGCACAAGUUCAUGAGAGUUCUUGACAAAUAAAGGGUGAUUUUGUUCAAAAAUAGAAUAUUUCUUUCGAUUUAUUAGAGCAAAUAAAAGUGAUUUUAACCAAGUGGUUCCUGAUUUAGGAUUUGUAACAAGGAUAAUAUCGCUAUCACGAGCUUGAAAUUGUUGUUGACAUGCAAUCAUACCUUGGAUUACUAUUGGUAUCAUCCAAACACCUUGGUAAUUGUAGAUAUAUGAUCCAA
rnacentral:lncRNA from 1 species